rnacentral:lncRNA from 1 species
GAUCUCUCUUCAUCUCUUCCUUAAUUUUCAUCCAUGUUUUAUUUUUCUCUUCUCAUACUUCUUCUGUUUCUUUUAGAUCUGUGAUUCUUUCAAAAUAAAUCACCACCGCUUCAGCUCCUCGGACCACCAUCGCCAUCUCUCCAGCUCCAAGGACCGCUAUCGCCACCACUGCAGCUCCUCGGACCGCUUCGCCACCGCCUCAACUCCUUGCGCACCACCACUGCCGUCACUCCUUCCCUGCCAUUGCCGCUCACUCUCCCUUCACUGUGAAGGCUUCACACGCUACAUCUCCAACUUCAUAUUCACACUUUAGAUCUACGCUGUUGCACCCUACGCCGAAACUAUCGUACCCGGAGCCCUUACACGGCCACCG